rnacentral:rRNA from 1 species
GCACUUCAUUGUGUGUACUGGGGAUCUAGGACUUUUACUUUGAAAAAAUUAGAGUGUUUAAAGCAGGCUUAUGCUUGAAUACAUUAGCAUGGAAUAAUAGAAUAGGACUUUGGUUCUAUUUUGUUGGUUUCUAGGACCGAAGUAAUGAUUAAUAGGGAUAGUUGGGGGCAUUAGUAUUUAAUUGUCAGAGGUGAAAUUCUUAGAUUUAUGAAAGACUAACUUCUGCGAAAGCAUUUGCCAAGGAUGUUUUCAUUAAUCAAGAACGAAAGUUAGGGGAUCGAAGACGAUCAGAUACCGUCGUAGUCUUAACCAUAAACUAUGCCGACUAGGGAUCGGACGAUGUUUAAUUAUUGACUCGUUCGGCACCUUAUGAGAAAUCAAAGUUUUUGGGUUCCGGGGGGAGUAUGGUCGCAAGGCUGAAACUUAAAGGAAUUGACGGAAGGGCACCACCAGGAGUGGAGCCUGCGGCUUAAUUUGACUCAACACGGGGAAACUUACCAGGUCCAGACAUAGUAAGGAUUGACAGAUUGAGAGCUCUUUCUUGAUUCUAUGGGUGGUGGCGCAUGGCCGUUCUUAGUUGGUGGAGUGAUUUGUCUGGUUAAUUCCGAUAACGAACGAGACCUUAACCUGCUAAAUAGUUACGCGAAUAUUUUAUUCGUGGUUUAACUUCUUAGAGGGACUAUAGAUUUUUAAUCUAUGGAAGUUUGAGGCAAUAACAGGUCUGUGAUGCCCUUAGAUGUUCUGGGCCGCACACGCGCUACACUGAUGAAGUCAACGAGUUUCAUCC